CCAUCCAAAAAAGAGAGAUCCACCAUGGAUUGUUGAGCAACGACCAAAUGUCAGCAUUCCUUGAAUCCCACUUCCUAAUCGGUAUUAAAAGACAUGCUCGAAGGAAACCUUCAUGUCCUUGAAUUUGUCGGAGGUUUUAAACACCUCUAUGGCUAAACAUUUGGUCUCCAUGAUGCACUCAUCAACCUUUUUCUCAUCCUCAG
rnacentral:lncRNA from 1 species